rnacentral:lncRNA from 1 species
AUUUUGCCAUUUUAGAAAUAUCAAAAUAAAACAAUUUUACAUAAACUAAUUAAAAAUAUAAUAGAGUAUUUGUUUUUAUGAAAUAAUUAUUAUUUAUAAUAAAAUGUUGAUGAAAUGAGCAUUAGAAUUACAUAAAAUCAUAGCUUUUUAUGUGUUUGUAUGUACCAGUAUGGCAUACUGGCCCUAUUUCUGAAAUUUGAUUAUGAUGGCACAUAGCCAGUCAGUUGAAUGCACUCAGGUAGUAAAAAGUACCAGCACCUGAUUUUUUUACAAAAAAAAGUCUAUAUAAAGCAUUUCAAGUUAGUAAACUUUUUGAAUCUCCAUCAAUUUUCCUGUAUAAAUAAUAUAUUUACAUUUCAGAAUAUGCUUAUAAAUAGUAUAUAUUUCAAAAGUGUAUUAAAAUCUGAUAUCUCAAAUAUUUUUGUUUAUAAAAUAUAUUAAAAAACAAUAGGUUAAGAUUAAAAUAAAAUAGAGGAUUAGAAGCAUCCUAAAAAUAAGAUUGCAAGUGUCAAAUUUAAAAAUAGAAAAACAUGUACUGCACUAUUGACAGCACACUAUUAGAAUUCUCUCUAUAUUUUUGUCCUCUUCUGUGCACG